CCUACGGGUGGCUGCAGUGGGGAAUUUUGGACAAUGGGGGCAACCCUGAUCCAGCCAUGCCGCGUGUGUGAAGAAGGCCCUCGGGUUGUAAAGCACUUUCAGUGAGGAAGAACGCCUGGUGGUUAAUACCCAUCAGGAAAGACAUCACUCACAGAAGAAGCACCGGCUAACUCCGUGCCAGCAGCCGCGGGAAUACGGAGGGUGCGAGCGUUAAUCGGAAUUACUGGGCGUAAAGCGCGCGUAGGUGGCUUGAUAAGCCGGUUGUGAAAGCCCCGGGCUCAACCUGGGAACGGCAUCCGGAACUGUCAAGCUAGAGUGCAGGAGAGGAAGGUAGAAUUCCCGGUGUAGCGGUGAAAUGCGUAGAGAUCGGGAGGAAUACCAGUGGCGAAGGCGGCCUUCUGGACUGACACUGACACUGAGGUGCGAAAGCGUGGGUAGCAAACAGGAUUAGAUACCCUUGUAGUC
rnacentral:rRNA from 1 species